CUAAUGUAUUGUCAGUUGCGACGUCACUCGCCAACUUCAGAGCGGUGGGUUGUGGCUUCCCACUCACGUUUCGCGCUGAAAAUUACACCGAAUUUGGUUUUUCAUAUCAGCUGCAGUCUAAGAAAUUUUCCAAUUAUAAUAUCGAAAUAUAAGAAAAUUUUUUAAUAAUCCAUACAGCAGAAAGGGUUAAUACUUGGCUCGACAAGGGCGUGGCAGCGAUGUGAAUCUAUUUUCUACUUGCGUCAGCAUUAGCGACCGCUCGAUUAAGUUACAGGCUUCCAUUCUUUAUUUGGAGUUGCUAGGUGGUUUAGGCCCAGUCACGCAUGAAGCAAAAAGGAUUAAGAUCUUACGAGGCAUAGGAGGCUGCCAUGUAAUUCGGAGAUUUGUGGUGGCUGAUUCGUCAUUUGGAUAUACAUGACAUCGUCUUCAGACACCUGUCACAGUGCAAGACCGUGUGGAACAAGAUGAUUACAAAACCAAUAUAGAGUUCUCGAGCUUGCUAUAGUUACAUCCUGAAGAAACUGGAGAUUCAUGCAGUACGUGUUCGGCUGCACACAUUCAGUAUUCAGCGACAGCCCAUUGACACACCAUAAUGGAACCGAAAAGACUACCAGUUGAAAUGUCAUUUGCACUAGAUAGACCUGUUCUGCGAUGAAUGAUCUAUGAGACAUUAUAAGUGCAAAAAAAUUUUGUAACAUAUUUCUAAUUCUGAAGUUAUUAUCCCCAACACUACACCUAUAAAUCGAUAAAUAAUAAUGUAAGAAAAUUUCGUAAAUUUUAAUUUAUUGUUUCUGCAUGAACACUUACUUUUAAAAAAUUCAAUAAUAAAUCAACAGGAAAACUAA